rnacentral:lncRNA from 1 species
GUUUCCUCUCUUGGCCUUGGAGACCCUUUCCCUCUGUCUCCGUACAGGGAAGCUUCUUCCUUCUUUCUUUUUUCUUGCCUAUUAAACUCUCUGCUCCUUGAAACUACUCCACGUGUAUCUGUCAUUUUAUGCAAUUCAGCCUAAGACAAGAGCCCUGGUGUUCCUCCACUCAUUGAAGUCGUAUCAUUUCUUUUUCUUUUUCUUUCUUUCUUUCUUUUUUUUUUUUUUUUUUUUUUUGAGUCAGCGUCUUCGUCUUUCACUCAGGCUGGAGAGUAGUGGCACAAUCAUAUCACAGCUCACUGCAGACUCGACCUCCUGGGCUCAAGCAAUCCUCCCACCUCAGCUUCCCAAGUAGCUGGGACCACAGGCAUGCUCCAUCAUGCUUGGCUAAUUUUUGUAUAAUUUUAUUUUAUUUUUAUUUUUUUUUUUUUGGAGAGAUGAGGUUUCGCCAUGUUUCUCAGGCUGCACUCACACUCCUAUGCUCAAGCAAUCUGCCGGCUUCAGCCUCCCAAAGUGCUGGGAUUACAGGUCUGCACCACACACCUGGCCUUGGAUUUAUUUCUUUUAGUCCAAAUACUCCUUUAAUAUUUCUGCAGUCUUAUAAUUACAAUAUCUGAUCAGGAAGUGAGUCUCCUUUCAUUAAUGUUGUGUGAACUCUCUUUAAAUCAAUUAAUGUAAACAGUAUAUUUUCCAGGAGAGUAAAUUUUUCUUAAAUUGUAUACUUGAUUUUAGUUUCUGUUUCAAGUUUUGUAAUUUGAUUCUUUUUCAGAAAUACCUAUAGAGAAUCAAAUCUUUCUUUUUUCUCCCACAGAUACCAUCUUCUCUUUGAUAGCUUUCAUGUUUUGUACUUUUCAACUUUUUUUUCUAUAUUCUAGGAUGGUUUCUCAAAUUCUCUGAUGUGUUCAUUUUGUUUUGCUAUUUCGAAUAUGGAUUUAGUUUAGGUGCAUAUUUUAGCUCCUCUACAAUGUUUCUUUUUUUUUUUUACUCUACCAGUCUCUAAAAAUCUAUUUCCAUUUCUUUAAUAGGUCAUUUAAGGGAUCUGCAUUCCUUUAAGUGUGUUGUUGAUAUGGUAAUUGGGUCAUGGGGGUGGUUUCCCCACCCUGUUCUCAUGAUAAUGAGUGAGUCUCAGGAGAUCUGAUGGUUUUGUAAGUGUCUGGCAUUUCCCCUGCUUGCACUCAUUCCAUCCUGCCCCCUGUGAAGAAGGUGCCUUUUUCUCCUUUGCCUGCUGCCAGGAUUCUAAGUUUCCUGAGGCCCCACCCAGCAAUGCAGAACUGUGAGUCAAUUACACUUCUUUCCUUUAUAAAUUACCCAGUCUCGGGUAUUUCUUCAUAGCAGCAUGAGAAGGGACUAAUACAGUUGUAUAAUGCUCUUUUUCUUGUUUUAAAAAAAAUACUGUAGGUCUAAACAUUUGGUUGACUGCUUCUGCAUGUUCAGAUCUGGUGUUUUCCAACAGGGUCAUGAAUUGAAAUUCCUGACUUACUUUUUUUUUUUUUUUUUUAAUAACUCCAACUUUUAUUUUCGAUUCAGAGGGUACAUGUGUAGGUUUGUUACAUGGAUAUAUUGCAUGAUGCUAAGGUUUGGGAUGUGAUUGUUUCCUUCACCCAGGUACUAAUCGUAGUACAUAGCAUACACAACAGUUGGCUUUGAAACUUAAUCUCCCCUUCUUCCUCCCAGUAAUCCCCAGUGCCUAUUGUUGCAUCUUUAUAUCCACAUGUACCCAGUGUUCAGCUCCCACUUAUAAGCGAGAACAUGUGGUAUUUGGUUUUCUGUUCCUGUGUUAAUUCACUUAGGAUAAUGGUCUCUAGCUGCCUCCAUGUUGCUGCAAAGGACAUGAUUUCAUUCAUCAUGAAAUCCUUGCCAGUUCCUGUGUUCAGGGUGGUAUUGCUUAGGCUGUUUUCCAGAGUUACUAUAGUUUGAGGUCUUAUAUUUUAAUCUUUAACCCAUCUAGAGUUAAUUUUUGCAUACAGUGAUAGGUAGGGGUCCAGGUUUAUUCUGUAUAUUGCUAGCCAGCUAUCGUAGCCAUCAUUUAUUGAAUAGGGAGUCUUUUCUUCACUGCUUAUUUUUGUUGACUUGGUUGAAGAUCAGAUGUCUAUAGGUGUGCAGCUUUAUUCCUGGGUUCUCUAUUCUGUUCCAUUGGUCUAUGUGUCUGUUUUUGUAUCAGUACCAUGCUGUUUUAGUUACUGUAGCCUUAUAAUAUAGUUUGAAGUUGGGUAAUGUGAUAAUGUGAUGUCUCCAGCUUUGUUCUUUUUGAAUAGGAUGGCUUUGGCAAGCCAGGGUCUUUUUAAGUUCUACACUAAUUUUAGAAUAAUAUUUCUAAUUGUAUAGAAAAUGAUGUUAGUAGCCUGAUAGGAAUAGCAGUAAAUCUGUAGAUUGCUUUGGGCAGUAUGGCCAUUUUAACUAUAUUGACUCUUUCAAUCCAUGAGCAUGGGAGGUUUUUACUGGAAUCUUGUUAAAUCCCUUUUUCUGAUUUGUAAUUGGAUGCACAAAUGAACUACAACCUACUAUGGCCCUUAGGCAGAAAAAUAAUGCGGCAUAAUUACAAAUUGACAAUAUUUAAAUGUUUCCUUCAUAUUUAUUUACUAGUGAAAUAGUUGCUGCCUACAAAGGGAUUUUUAAAUCAAAACCAUAAUACUAAAUAAGAAAUAUCAUUAUCAUUUCCACUUUGGCAGAGGGAGGAUUAGAUUACAUGUUUCCAUGUUACAACUAGAAUUAUUUGUAGAGCCCCAACUGCAUUAUUACUGCUUUCUCACUGUUUUGAUGCCCCUCAUAGACUGGUGUACCUUGCAAUAGUGUAAUGGUAUGACUGGCCUUACUCUUCAUGCAGCUUAAGGCUAAUGACACCUGAGUGUUGACAGGAUCUUAUCUGGAGAAACUUUGCUAUAUUCUACUGCCUGCUUUCUGUAAAGUCAAACAUAGGAAAUAUGUGAAAAACCAUUACAAUGUAGAACUCAGUACUCUCAAUCAUCCUUCUCUGGCUCUCCUAAUAUACCCAUUUUCCUUGAGCACAAUGAUUUCCCACUUAGCAAUCGAUAUUCACUGUCUACCCUAACUUUGUUUAGACUCUUUCUUCUACUUUUCUAUCAUUAUUCACUAUUGAUCUUCCUUGGGAAUCUCAUUCUUCAGCCAACUCUUCUCUCUCAAUUUCUUGACCUUGCUUGUGAUUAGAAAAUGCAUAAAUUGGAAAUUAAAAGAAAAAAGAAGGGUUUAUCCAGCUGAAAUUUUAUGUCUUUUGACCAGCACCUUCUCAAUAAUCCCACCACCUGCAUUCUACCUGCAGAAUUAGCACUACCUGGAUGUGGAAGCUGCGGAGGCUUAUUGCUUGUGCCCUCCAAAGCUGCGGCACAAGAUACACCUGGAGUCACUUGAGCCAUGGCUGGAGCAGCCAGGAUCCAGGGAGCAGCAAUGUAUGGAUACAGGGAACUCCAGGCCCAUCUCACAAAGCCAUUUUGCCCUUCUAGACCUGUGCCUUUUCUCCGUUGUCCUAACACACAACACUUAUCUUUCUUGUUUUCAUGCUAAUCUUAUUAGAAAGUAGUCACUGGGCCACACCCUCAGCAAUCUCUCCCAAACUUGCUUUUUUACCCUUAACAUGAUCAGGCUGUGACUUUUCCAGAUUUUUUCGGCUUUGCUGCCCUUUAGUUGUAAAUUCUGUUUUAAAUUAUUCAUUUGCUCCCAGAUCUCAGUAUAAGCAGGUCAAAGUAACCACACAGCUCCUUCUCUAAUUUGUUUAGAAAUUUUUUCCAGAAAUCCUAGUUCAACAUUCUUAAGUUUCACCUUCAUAAAACCCUAGAACAUGGACACAAUGGAGGCAAGUUCCUUGCUACAGUAUAACAAGGAUGGCUUUUACUCCAGUUCACAGUAAGAUAUUCCUCAUUUCCAUCACACCUUAUCAGAAUGGUCUUUACUGUACAUAUUUCUAUUAGAAAUAUUAAUAGAAAAUGAACAAACAACAGAGUAAGUUUACAAAGCCACAAAUAUUUUGUUGAAAUGAUUAAUAAAAUUGGUAAUCUUAACAAGGAUUGAUCAAGAAAUAAGUAAAGAAACACAAAUUACCUAUAGCAACGAAGGAGUUGAUAUGAUUACAGAGCUCAUAGAUAUUGAAAAGAUAAUAUUAUAAAGAACUUUAUCCUGAUAAAUAUGAUUAUUUAAGUGGAAUGAAAAAAAUCUUGAAAAACACAAUUUACCAAAUCUGACAAAAGAGGAAAUAGAAAAUUUUAAUAGCUCUGUAACUUUUAAAGGAAUUGAACCUAUUACCAAAACCCUUCCACAAAGAAAACUGUAGGCCCUUAUGGCUCAUCACUGAAAUCUAUAAAUCACCUAAAGAAAAAAUAAGUCUUACAUAAGGCUUUUUCAGAAAAUAAAGGUGGCAAUAAUACACCCCAGCUUGUUUUAUGAGGAUGGUAUAACCCUGAUACUAAAAUGUGACAGAGAUAUUACAAGAAAAAUUAUCACCCAACUUAGCCACAUAAAAUGAAAAGGCAAUAGUUUCACAUCUGUUUGCAUCUGAUAAAUGUCUUAAGGACUUGAAUGUUAUAAAUCACUCUACUAUAAUGUGAAACAUCUUUUAUCAAAUAUCACAGGAAUGAUCAAUAUCUGAUGACUGGAGAGGAAAAACAGAAGAGAAAUACAAGUUUCUGCAUGUCAGCCAAACAUAGCUAACAUUAUUUUACAAAGCAUCAGGAAUUGCAGUGGCAUUGUUGUUAACGGAAACUGAAGGCAGAGAACUUACUGAUUUUAGUAUACACCAUAACUUUUAACAUAGUAAUAGACUUCUGAGAGCACUAAUGUCUCAGCAACUUAAUAGGUGCUCCUUGAUUUGUUGGAUUCUAAAGAAUGCCUUGACAAACAUUCCCAAAAUCGAGCUCUCAUACAUAUUAAACCCAGGUAAGGCUGAGUGGCUUAUUGUGAAAUAAGAAUAAUAACCACAAAAUCCUAGAAUACCAUGCCACUAAAUCUUACUAGCAGAGUUCUAAAACAGAAAAAUUAAUGCAUUUACUUAAUACAAGACUAGUUAUUGUGUAGUCUGUGACUUCUCUCCUUGAUGAAUAUUUUUGAGUCCAUUAAAAUAAUUCUCUUUGUCUACUUUAAGACAAAACCUAUUGUCAGCAAUUUUUUCCAUGUGAAAUUGUAAAAAUCUUUUCUUAACAACAUCUAAUUAGUUUUUCCCUAACAAUAUCUUAUUAAUUUUUAUUACACAUCUGAGUAUAUUUGAUGAGUAAAAGGGGAGUCAAAUUAAUGGUUAUGACUCUUAGGAAGAAUGCUAAUAUUUCUUCUUUAAUCGGCACUUAGUUGAAUCCUACUUAUUAAUUACUUUAAACAACUCCCUAUAGAAGACACUCCAGUGCUAUUUAUUGCUUUUAUUCAUGAAAUACAUUUGUAAGAAUAUUUCCAAUGUGUCUGUAUUUUCUUCACCUUUAAUAUAAUAUCAGAGUGAAUACAGUUUUGAUGAAUUAGGAACUAUCUCAAUCCUUUGUGAUACAGUUUAUCUUCAUAGAUGGCCAAAGGAAGCCAUCUUUUUGGAAUGCCUUUAUCAAAUUGCUACUAGAUAGAAAAAUAAAUUAAUAGUCAUGCUGAUCAGGCUGAAGUCUUUGAAGACAUUGGCCUGAAUAAAUAAGGCAAGUCACAGACCCAUGCCACUCUAGUAUGUUUAUUAGAACAGUCGUACCCUAUCAAAAACAUAACUCAGCACAUUACCCAGAUAGUAAUAAUACAGGUCACCUCCUUUAGAGCCAGUAGAUGAAACUGUAAUCGUAUCAACUCUUUCAUUAAUAGCUCUGUAACUUUUAAAGGAAUUGACUCCAUCACCAAAAGCUUUCCACAAAGAAAACUGUAGGCCCAUAUGGCUCAUCACUGAAAUCUAUAAAUCAGCUAAAGAAGAAAUAAUGUCUUACAUAAGGCUUUUUCAGAAAAUAAAGGUGGAGAUAACACACCCCAAAUUGUUUUAUGAGGAUGGCAUAACCCUGAUACUAAAAUGUGAAAGAGACAUUACAAGAAAAAGUAUCACCCAUCUUAGCCACAUAAAAUGAAAAGACAAUAGUUUCACAUCUGUUUGCAUUUGAUAAAUGUUUUAAGGACUUGAAUGUUAUAAAUCACUCUAUUAUAAUGUGAAACAUCUUUUAUCAAAUAUCACAGGAACGGUCAAUACCUGACAACUGGAGAGGAAAAACAGAGGAGAAUACAAGUUUCUGAAUGUCUGCGUUGGUGUUACGCAUUAAAUAAUACUACUUUUUCUUGCCUCUUGUUGAUAUAUGCAGAAAUCAGUAUGCAAUAUGCCAACCUGCUCUUGCCACACCUAUUACUGUGUAACUUAUUCUUAAGCAAAUUAUCCCAAUACAACAGGCAGCUCUUUUGCAAGCUUACUUAAAAUGCUUUUAUUCCUACUCAUCCUAUGCUCAUAUCUUUGUUCCUCUUUUCUCACAAGCACAUGUUAUUAGGCAUGUCUUAUCUUCUUCAUAGUCACUCAAGGGUUUCUGUGUGGCUCUGUGUGUCAAUGACCACUAUACAUGCAAAUGUGCAUGUGUACAAACAUAAUGUCCUGUCUACAGUCAUGUCUACUUGACCCUAGAGUUUCUUAUGGUUUAAUUUCUGUUUUAGUUUAAGUCAAAGAUGUGUUGCUUAGAUAUUCUGGUUAUCAACCAGGCAAGUCUAUUCUUUUGAGCUACUCCUUUUUUCUGUGUAAUCUUUCACUUCAGCUAGUUGCUUGUUAUACCCUUCCAAAAACAUCGCUUCAUCACGCUGUCUCUUACAACUUCUCUAAAAGCCUCUUUAUUAUCAUUUUAAUUAUUCAUCUAAGAAUUGGCUUAUUCUUUGUCUUUUCCAAACUCUAGAAAACCAAAGGGAAUUUUAUCAUUAGGAAGCAUCUAGAGCAGUGGUUAGUAAACCAUGGCCCAUGGGCCAAAUCCAGCCUGCAGCCUGUUUCUAUACAGCUCACAAACUAGGAAUCAUUUUUAUAUUUUAAAGUGGUUGGGACACAAACAAACAAAAUAUAUUUUAUGACACAUGAAAAUGACAUGUAAUUCAAAUUUCACUGUUCAUAAGUAAAGUUUUACUGGAACUUAGCCAUGCCCAUUCAUUUACAUAUUGUCUAUAGCUGUUUUUGCAAUACAGGAGCAGAAUUGAGAUGUUGCAAGAGACCAAAUGGCCUGCAAAGCCUAAAAUAUUUACUAUUAAGUAAAAGGAAAAAAGUUUGCCAACCCUUGAUCUAGGGAAUUAGAAAAAUGUAAAUUGUUGUUCACAAGGUUAAAUGAUUUCCCCAAGGCCAUAGGAAUUUAUUGCUGAGCCCAGGCAGGAACUUUGAUUUCUUUAUUCAUCCAUUGGUGCCCUCCUUGUUGUAUCAUAUGCCAACUACCCAUUUAAAAGACAUAGUUAACCUUGUAACUGAAAGACAAGGGGAAACUCCAUUUCUCGUUGGGUCUUCUGCAUUUCCAACGUUAGUCAGUCACAAAAAAACACUGUGGAGGAGAUCAACAUUUAGAUGACUACAGAAACAGGGAUUAUCAUACAAUGAAUAAUUAACUAGGUAGCAAAGAUUAUUUAUACCCUUACUAAUCCUGGGUUUUUAAAAAAAUCAAUAUUAAUUUUAGUUAGAAAGAGUUGUAUUAAUAUUAUAGUGUUGCACUUCACAUAUUACUUUUAUAUGCAUGUAUAUUCUUAGAAAAAAACAAGAACCCAUUUUCUGGGAUAAUUUAUCAUCUUGCUUUAAAAUAAAGGAACAAAUUCUGCUGCCAAGAAGCUUCUCACAUGUUCCCCCCUUAUCAGGAUAAAUAAUUGUUUGAUCAAAAUAGCAGCCGGCCUAGUGCCCCUGGCUGAGACAGCUGAUUAAUGAACUUUAAUUACUAGUUACAGCUCUAGAACCACCCAGCAGCCUUCGACCAACCUCUUCCUGAGCAUCAACCUCCUUUUUCUGCUUUUGCCUUGGAAAUAAUGACAGUGUCUCCUCUAGACAUCCACAGGCCUGUGGGGAGAUAGAAGUUCACAGCAGGAAUUGCAGUUAAUUUCUUGUUUCUUCUUUACUGGACAGAAAAACGAAGAGACUUCAGAGAAAAGAUAAAGUGGUAACUAUCCCUUUGUAACUCUAACCCAAAGUUCUACUGCCCUUUUUCGUGAAAAUACUUUUAAAAAAUCAUACGUGAGAAAGGGGAGGGAGGUAUCUGUCAUCCUUUUCAGAGCCCACCCGUGCUGCUACAUUGCCCUGUGGGGCACUCCUUGCUAGCCAGCUUCUGUGGAGGAGUGAAGUUGUUGUUGUCUCAGCUUCAGUGCAAAGUAUUAGGGAAGACAAUACUGUCAUUUGCUGUUAGCUCUGUAAUUCCCUACACCACUAGACUAGUGGGUGUCUGUGACUUGAAGGUAUAGGCAUAACUAGAGAGGGUAGGUAGGUAAUGAGAUAUGGCAGGACUUUAAUAUACUAAAUAUGACUGUUGCCAGAGUACAAAGAAAAGACUGACCCUGGCCUGGUGUCUCCAUCUGUGGACAUACACCAGUUCAGAGCCUUUUCCCCAAUCUCAAGUUCACGCUGCUCCAUCAUUCAAGGAGAGAUGCUGCUUUAUGAUGUAGUCAGAGAAUAAAUUUUCCUUGUCACCUUAGCAAUACACUACCACUACCCACAAGAACGGUAUUUACUUUGGGCCUUCUCUUCUCCUCCUCACUAAGGCAAUACAUACGAUUAGGUAAAAAAAACAAAAACAAACCAGCAUUAUCUGUGGCACUGGCAAGAAAUGCCUGAUGUUGAAUUCCCAAAAGUGUCAUCAGACACCUUGUUCAUAAAGACUGACAGAAUGUAUUCAAACUCAUUGUAGUAAAGCAGACAGAGUCUUAGUAUUGGAGGAAAUUUAGAGGAUUUGGAGUUUGGCUCAAGAGUUUUCAAAAUGGGAUGAGUUUAAAGCAGAUUUUUUCAAGCAGGAAAAUUAUUAGAAUUGGACAAUGUUCAUAACACAGUAGUUUAGGGUUGGUGAAUGCAUUGAGGUGAGGUGUUGACAUGAUAAGUAAACCUUUGAUAAAUGAUCUUUACUGAGGUGAACAAACUUAUCUCUGAUAAAUUGAUUUGUAGGAAUUUCUUGAAGAAAACAGUAAAGUUGUUUACUGGUUUAGUUUCAUGUUAGAGUGUUUUUUAAAUUUUUUGUUUGUUUGUUUUGUUUGUUUUUAGAAAAAAAUCAACUAAGGCAUGUGGAUAUAGAUGUUUUCAGUUUUCAUCAGAAUGACCAUUAGUACUCUAUGGUAUCAAAAAAAAAAUAUGUGUGCUAUUGACAAUCCAAAUUUGUGGCUUUGUAGUAUUUCUAACAGUAUAAGGAAACAUACAUAUACAAACAUAUAUAUUGUUCUAGAAUAAAUAUUAAUUUAAUCGUUAGGGGUUAUACAAGCCAUAAUACUCAGAAAGAAAGAUAAUUUUUUUUUCCUCGGGUAAUACAAUUUUUAAAGGUUGUCUGUAAUCACAAUGGAAGAUAUAGAUUUACAUUAUUAUCCAGAUGAGUUUCAUUCUCCACCUUAUCUCUAGAUCAAACCACGUAAUUUCCUGGUUUAGAGACUAUUACUAGUAGGUAGUAUGUAGCCAUGUAUCCUGUCCAAAACAGAACCAUCUUUCCAUUAAAAUUCUUAGCAGAGGCUUUGAAGUUAAAAUUUACUUUACUGUAGGCCAUAUCAAAUUCACUAAUAUUUGAAAAAUGAAGGUAAACCAUACAUGCCUUUAUUAUAUCUAAAUUAAAGCCAAUCAGUAGGGUGGCACUUGUUCUAGAUAACACAGUUAGUUGCAAAUUAUUUUAUCUUUUCUCCUUUUCUUUGUUUUUCAUACAAAUGACUCCAGUAGAGCUUAAAAUAGUUUUUUUUUCUGUUUCUUUGUUUUGUUUAACUUUUAAGUUCAAGGGUACAUGUGCAGGUUUGUUAUAUAGGUAAAUUUGUGUCAUGGGGGUUUGUUGUACAGAUUAUUUUGUCACCCAGGUAUAUUAAUCCUAGUACCCAUUUGUUAUUUUCCUGACCCUCUCCCUCCUCUCACCAUCCACCCUCUGAUAGGCUCUAGUGUGUGUUGUUCCUACCUUUGUGUCCAUGUGUUCUCAUCAUUAGAUCCAAUUCAUUUGUGAGAACACGCAGCAUUUGGUUUUCUGUUCCUGCAUUGGUUUGCUAAGGAUAAAGUCCUCCAGCUUAAUUCUGAGAAUUCAUGGAAUAAAAAAAAUUAUGCUAAAUUUAAUCAUUCUGAUACUGAUUGUUAUAUAUUAUUUAUUUUAGUAAAAUGAGAAUGUUAAAACUUCAUAGUGAUUUUUGCAAGUGAAGAAAAGGAGAAUAUUUCACCCCAAAAUACACCUCUUUGACAUACAUAGUUUUAAGCUUACUGCAAUUGGGAAGCAGCAGUUACAGAAAAGACUGACUUUCCCUUUCUUACCUAUGGCAGGCUAUAAACAUUCCUAUAAAAAAGAUGCAGGGGGGCUCUGCCUUCUCUUUCCACAUGUAGAUGGAGAUAUAAGUUCUCGCUUGCUUAUCAGCCCAGAGGUGGCACCAGCAGAGUCAAAGGAAUUUGGGAACAGACUUUGACUAUUUUUAUGCAGCUUUUCCCACAUUUGGGACCCUAAAGCUACUUGUUAUUUCUGUCUUAACACUUCUAAAUUGAUUGUUCUUUGUUAGAUAUGCUAUAUAAGCAGGAACCCUAAGCCAUCAUAUUAUGAGAAACUUUUGAACUGAGGUUUCUCCCGUGUGGUGUACACUGCACAGAUAGAUAAAAAUGUCUGUUUUUCUCUUGUUAAUCUGUCUUUUGUUACAGAAGUGUUCCCACUAUGCACUUAAGGGGUUGAGAAAGAAGUUAUAUAUUUUCUCCCAUUUACAGGGAAAAGUUGUGUAUUCAUCCAAUCAAGAAAUAUUUAUGUAUUUACUAAUUUCUUACCAGACACCACACACUAGGUUGGAUACAAGAGCUUUCAAAAUGGGGUAAAGAAAACAAAAAUCAUAAAUUACUUCUAAAAAUAACUUUUAAGCCAAUAAAUGAGAGAAAUACAUAAACUCUUAUAGUACAAUGGAAUAAUCUAAUCAUGUUUAUGUAAAGAUGUUUUGGAAAGGUCUAAAUCCAUUUAUGUUAAAUUUGGAUACGAAUAGGGGCAAGUUAUAGAAAUAUAAUGUUUUUUUUCUGUCUAAUAUGUGCCAAGCAUUUUAUAUUAUUUUAUUUAAACAUCACUACAGGCUGUAGAAAUUCAAUGUUUAUCCCAAUUUUGUAGGUGAGGAAAUUAAUGCUUAUAAAUAUUAGAAAUACCAAAGGCACAACAACUAGUAAGCAGUCAAGCCUGGCUUGGAAUCCAGUUCUUUUUGGUUCCAAAUUAUUUACUAUUUUCAGUACGCUGAGCAUCUCCAGGAAACACAGAUCUGAAUUCUGGAUUUCAGGCAGGAGAUAUUGAGAGGUGACAACAUGCUAGCAGCCCUCGCUCAUUCUCAGCAUCUCCUUGGCUUCGGCAUCCGCUCUGGCUGCACUCAAGGAGCCCUUCAGCCCGCCGCUACACUGUGGGGGACCCUCUCUGGGACUGGCCGAGACCAGAGCUGGCUCCAUCUGCUUGCCAGGAGGUGUGGAGGGAGAGGCGCGGGCAGGAGCCGGGGAGCUGGGUUCCGGAUGGGUGCAGGCUCAGCGGGCCCUGCACUGGGCGCAGCCGGCCGGCGCCUACUGGGCUUGACUGGGGGAUGAGCUCCCUUUGGGCUGCCGGAGUGCCUGGGCUAGAUGCCGCAAAGUCCCACAGCGAGUGCCAUUGAGAGGUGAAGCCAGCUGGGCUUCUGGGUUGGGGAGGGACCUGGAGAACUUUUCUGUCUAGCUAAGGGUUUGUAAACACACCAAUCAGCACUCUGUGUCUAGCUAAAGGUUUGUAAAUGCACCAGUCAGUGCUCUGUCAAAACGGACCAAUCAACUCUGUAAAAUGGACCAAUCAGCUCUCUGUAAAAUGGACCAAUCAGCAGGAUGUAGGUGGGGCCAGAUAAGGGAAUAAAAGCAGGCCACCCAAGCCAGCAGCAGCAACUCGCUCGGGUCCCUUUCCACGCUGUGGAAGCUUUGUUCUUCUGCUCUUUGCAAUAAAUCUUGCUGCUGCUCACUGUUUGUGUCCACGCCACCUUUAUGAGCUGUAACACUCACCACGAAGGUCUACAGCUUCACUCGUGAAGCCAGCGAGACCGUGAACCCACCAGAAGGAAGAAACUCCGGACACAUCUGAACAUGUGAAGGAACAAACUCCAGACACACCGUCUUUAAGAACUGUAACACUCACUGCAAGGGGCUGCGGCUUCAUUCUUGAAGUCAGCGAGACCAAGAACCCAACAAUUCCGGACACAAUAUCAGUAAAUUAUUCCACUACCAGAACCAGGAGAGUGAUAAAAUGAAAGCAAAAUUUUAGAAAAGUAAUCUGAGAGGAAUUUUGGGAAUCAAGUAAUAAUGUAUAGAAGCAGAUAAUUCAAAUAGCUUGCUGAGAUAUCAACAUAAAAAGGGCUUAGGCUAGAAUAGUAACAGCUAAUAAAAAUUAACAUGACCAACUACUGUAUACCACAUUUUGUGCUUGGCAUUUCACAACGACUUUCAGGAUAAAGUUAUGAGGUAGGUGAUAUUAUCCCCAUAUUACUGUCUGGAGGUAAAGCAACAUGACAAGGUCACAUAGCCAAUAAAUAGAAGAAUUAUGAUACAAACCCAGAUCUUUUUGGUUCUGAAAACUGAAAUCUUAACCACUAUGUUAUAGUAAGAUUAGAACAGAAAUGUCAAAUAUAAUAUUUUGGAGAAUCUUUUGAUAACAAAAUAAGGAAAGAGAAUGUGCUUGAAAGUAUUAAGCAGAAGUUAUCAGUGCCAACGACAGAUCAGAUGACAAAGCUAGACCCUGAUGCAGAAUGCCCACCUCCUACAAAUAAUUGUUUCUGUCUUGUUUCCCAUCACCAUUUAUAUCAUCACUGCCACUAUGAUCAUCCAGUAGCACCUACACUCUCAUCUUCAUACUUCUUUCGAUAUUCUUCUAUUUACUCCCUUCCAUCAAUGCUUCCCUACCUUAUAAACCCUUCCACUCUGUUGGGGGACUAAUGGACACACACAUAUCGAUGGUUCCUCGGAACAAUGUAAUGAGUUCUGUGUUUCUCUUUUUGUGUGGUAUUGCUGUUCUAAAAACUACAGAUAUCAGUGUUUUUACAAACUCAAUGUAGAUUGAUGCCUAGAAAACGAUAUCCUCUUCUGUUCCCACCAUUCUUCUCCAAACCCUAUCACGUCCUUGAAAUACUGUUCUACGAUCAGUAUGUUCCCGUAUAUUCUGUCUUCUCUGUAAAUUCCCUCCAGUUCCUUUGUCCCAACUGACACUUCAGAAUCUUCUGAGGAUCUGAGGAGAUUGCCUUCUUUGUAGCCUUCUCAAGCAGAGGUUUUCUUUUGUUCUUCCGCACUAGCCAGUUCUACCCAAUCUGACUUUAUAAUUGCUGAUCCACCAAUUUUGUUUUCUACAUCUACCUGUCUAUCAGCAUUUUUAUUGAAUUCAAAAUCCAAGAGGAAGACCUAUUCAACAGGCUGAUAAUGCAUGGUUUGCCCUCUUCAUUUUAAAUAACAUUUACUGCCAUCUCCAUCUCAACAAAUCAUCCCCGUGGUCAAAUCCUGUGGUAGCACUCCUCACACAGGGGCACCAGCUGCCGGGGUCUGCCUGCAGACCCUGACCCAGCGACGGAUGAAUAAAGUACACUGACACACAGAUAAUCUGUUUUGCCAGUUCAGCUGAGUGUCCAAGCCAUUUACAAAUUCCCUGCUGAGUAUUGUGAACAGUUGCAACUAUGGCCCAAUCAGCUGAUGAGACUCACAUUUAUUCAGUAAGAUUAAUUCACAAAGGCUUGAGUCAACACCAUUAGAGGGUAAUUGACAUUGUGGACUUCCCGAGUAAAAAGCACUUAAGCACCUGUGGUACAUCAAAGGUUAGUCUUAAGACCACAUGAGUAAACAAGCUAGCUAGUUAACUACCCCACAUUCCUUUGUUACUACUCUACUUUAUUUAACUAAAGGUUAAGAUCAGGUUGUCUUCAACCAUAUCUGUUACCAAAGUUAUGCAAACUUCUUGGCCUUCCAAGAUUUGUGUCUAUCUCUGUAACUAUCUCUAAUAUUUUCCCUACCAGCCUGACUGAACCCAACAACAUUCUAGAUGCUUCUCUUCUAGAAACUAUGUCAACUACAGCAUCUGUAUUUCAACCAUAUUGCUUUACAACGAUUGUCUUUUACUUUUCUAUCUCACUUGCAAAAGUACCAUUGCUGAAAUAAUUCCUCAACUUCAUUGAGGACCAAUUCCUUGACCUCGCGAUUUUCUCAUUACCAUACUGUCUCCUUGUAUAUUAGUUUUCCUUUUAAACCACAUUAGAUUAUAUGGUUCCACACUACCAUCACUCAUUAAAAAAACUUGUUUGCAAAUAUCCUCAAUUUCUCUACAUCUGCCACUUUCUAUGGUAAUUCUCUGACAAACCAAAUUUUUAAUGAGUAAUUCACCUUCUAACAUGAAGACAGAAGAAACUUCUGUGGCUGGAAAGAAAUAUCAUAUGAGUAAGCUGACUGGUUUUUACUUAAAGGGAACAUCAUGAGCUUUAAGUGGGCAUUCUACAUGGGCAGUCAUAUUCUAAUGAGGAAACAGAAACAGUCAGAGAAGAACUUUCUUGUUUUCUUCUAACCAAAUCUAUAAAAUGGCCUUAAUCUGCAUCUAUCUGAAACUUUUUGCAGUGUAUUUUCCAUCACUAAUCACAGCAUACAGGUUUCAAAGAAUUUCUACAGGACUGAAAAAAACCAAAUCAUGCCAAAUAGUGGGAGGAAGAGCUACCUUAUUCCAAAAAAUACUAGUAUCAGAACUCAGGUUUCAUUAAAUACAUUGAUACCUAGAAUAAAAGACUCUCUUGCAGCUUUCUGUGGCCAGAUGACUUUUGUUCAAUGAAAUAUUAAGCACUGUGUUGUAUCUCCAGAAAGUCCCCAUUUUGCUUUUCUCUUCUUUAUUCUUAUUUUUGUGCUGUCAUGAAAGUGAUUUCAGGAGCUUCAGAAUCCAUCUAAUACCAUGAAGUAACCUUGAAGAAACCAUGUGCAAGGGCUACAGAGGAGAAAGAAGAAAGCCUGGCCUCUAAUCACACUGUGGAUAUGCUUCCACUGGCCAAAUCUGGAUUUCUUUUGUAUAAAAUAAGAUAAACGUAUAUGUUGUUUAAACCACUUUUGUUUGUUUUUAAUUUUUCUGUCAUAUGCAUACAUCAAAAUUCAUAAAUGAUGUGGUUUACCUGCAAAUAUCAAGAAUAUGCAAUACAGGCUGGGGUACAGUGGCUCAUGCCUGUAAUCCCAGCACUUUGGGAGACUGAGGUGGGCAGAUCAUUUGAGGUCAGGAGUUCGAGACCAGCUUGAGCAACAUGGCAAAAUUCUGUUUACAAAAAUACAAAAAAAUUAGCCU